rnacentral:lncRNA from 1 species
AAAAGUUCCUUGGAUACAUCAUGAAAGGAUCUGAAACCUAUACCCCCUUCUCAUAUGGCAUACACAGGUUAGUCCAUGAUAACCAAUGUCUUGAGCUUCCUCCCACAUUGCUGCUCCAGAAAAAUUUGGCAAAAAUGCUAGGUAAUUUGUUGAUCACAUAUCUUGGUGGAUUAACUGUUGACAACAUAUGAAUUGGUAUACUCUGCAGGACAUUUGCGAUCAAUACAGCCCUGCCUCCUACAGAUAGGAGUUUGCCUUUCCGCGUCUGUAGUUUGUCCAUAACCUUAGUAAUUAAACCAUGGUAAUAAUCACUCCUUCUUUUGGCAUACAAAAUAGGACAUCCAAGAUAGUUCAUAGGGAAAUAUUGUCUUCCUAUACCAGUAAUCCUUUCCACCUUGUUAAUCACCUCAUUAUCCGUUAAAUGAUGCAGAUAUAUGGCUGAUUUGGCUUUGUUCACCAGUUGACCAAAUGAUGAUUCAUAAGCUUGCUGAACCUCCAUCACAAGUGACAAUGGAGUUACAUCAGAUGAGCAGAAAAUGAUUGUAUCAUCUGCAUAUGCAAGAUGGUUUAUUUUUCGGCUCCAUUUUGGUAGUCCAAAUCCACGAAAAU